AGAUUCCUACCGCCAAAGCUGUGGACCGGUGUCGGCGGCUGAGGACACCACAUCCAGACAGAAGAUGAAGCAAGUGUCCAAAAAAGGCAGCGCCGACGCCCAAGGAGGUUCAUUGACAGAUUCUUCAAGCGAUGAUGAAUCUGUUGCACGACCAGAUAAAACUGUCCAGACGGAGCGUGCGUCUGGAAGCCCUGUCUGGAAGUUAAAAUUUAUCUCAGCAGAUACACUUCCUCCACCACCAUCAUGAAACCAGCUGGUUGCCCAGAGCAGAUGAGUCUUUAGUGACCCUACCCACGGACUGCCACUUCAU